UGUGAAAUCCCGGAGCUCAACUCCGGAACUGCAUCCGAUACUGCUAGACUUGAGUAAUGGAGGGGCAGGUGGAAUUCUCGGUGUAGCAGUGAAGUGCGUGGAUAUCGAGAGGAAGACCAAUGGCGAAGGCAGCCUGCUGGACAUUUACUGACGCUGAGGUACGAAGGCCAGGGUAGCGAAAGGGAUUAGAUACCCCUGUAGUCCUGGCAGUAAACGGUGCGCGCUUGGUGUAGGAGGACUCGACCCCUUCUGUGCCGGGASUAACGCGUUAAGCGCGCCGCCUGGGGAGUACGGUCGCAAGACUAAAACUCAAAGAAAUUGACGGGGACCCGCACAAGCGGUGGAGUAUGUGGCUUAAUUCGAUGCAACGCGAAGAACCUUACCUAGGCUUGACAUGUAUUGCUAAGCACGUGAAAGCGUGUGMCCUUCGGGGACCUUACACAGGUGCUGCAUGGCCGUCGUCAGCUCGUGUCGUGAGAUGUUUGGUUAAGUCCAGCAACGAGCGCAACCCCUGUGGAUAGUUGCCAGCAAGUAAUGUUGGGGACUCUAUCCAGACUGCCCAGGUCAACUGGGAGGAAGGUGGGGAUGACGUCAGGUCAGUAUGGCCCUUACGCCUAGGGCUGCACACGUACUACAAUGCCCAGUACAAUGAGAACCGAGACCGCGAGGUGGAGGAAAUCUGUAAAACUGGGCCCAGUUCGGAUUGGAGGCUGCAACUCGCCUCCAUGAAGUUGGAAUCGCUAGUAAUGGCACAUCAGCUACGGUGCCGUGAAUACGUUCCCGGGUCUUGUACACACCGCCCGUCACAUCAUGGAAGCCGAUCGCACCCGAAGUAUCUGCGCUAACUAUUUAUAGAAGCAAGGUCCUAAGGUGUAGUUGGUAACUGGGAUGUAGUCGUAACAAGGUAACCGU
rnacentral:rRNA from 1 species